AACAAGGCGUACCUGCGGACCUGCGGAAGGAUCAUUACCGAGUGAGGGCUCGCGGCCCGACCUCCAACCCUUUGUUUGACCAACACCUGUUGCCUCGGGGGCGGCCCGGACGCCGACGCGUCGGCACCCCGACGGACCCAACCGUAACUCUGUGUCGAUGCGUCAGAGUACUUUGCGAAUCAAUCAAAACUUUCAGCAACGGAUCU
rnacentral:misc_RNA from 1 species